GAUCCUGGCUCAGGACGAACGCUGGCGGCGUGCCUAAUACAUGCAAGUAGAACGCUGAAGAGAGGAGCUUGCUCUUCUUGGAUGAGUGGCGGACGGGUGAGUAACGCGUGGGUAACCUACCCUGUACAGGGGGAUAACAGUCAGAAAUGACUGCUAAUACCGCAUAAGACCACAGCACCGCAUGGUGCAGGGGUAAAAACUACCGGUGGUACAGGAUGGACCCGCGUCUGAUUAG
rnacentral:rRNA from 1 species